UGCCUCUCAGGGUCGCACUGGGAGAAUUUCCAGUCCUCUACCAGUCUCGACUAUGAGAGGGAGAGUCAAGCAGAGGCCAACCCAUUCCAUUCCUAGCUUGGACAGUGACUAGUGAGUGGAAGGCAAUCUGCUACAAAU